CUGGAGGGGUAUAUCACGAGAAAGAGGCUGUUUUAAAGUUCACCAGCAAGCAAGUUUUCAGACUGCCUUAUUUAUAAAUAUAUGUAUAUAUUUUAUUUACAUUAUAUACAUGGCAUAUCUAUACAGUUACAUUUACACUUGACUUAGAGUCAAAGUCAUAUACACACACACAGGACUUGGACUCAAAGCUUUUAAUGACAAGCAUGCAAAAUUUCUUAGUAUAGACCCUAAGAGUACCCUUAAUAUAAGUAUGUUUAUUUAAAAAUUCUAUGUAUCUACUACUGUUACCAGGGGGUCCUUGCUCCCAGAGCUCCCAAGAUGGUGGCAGGCCACUUCCAAAAUGGUGGCAAGCCUCAUGUUCUCUGACCUGGGGUUCUUGGCCUCACAGAUUCCAAGGAAUGGAAUCUUGGGCCAUGCGGUGAGUGUUAUAGCUCUAUUAGAAGCCAUGGGUCAUGGAAGAGAACCGUGGAACCCAGUGACUAAUGUUCAGCUUGAUUAGGAUGAACCCAGGCACUUAGCCGUGCAGGAACAAUGGCAAGCCUUUAGCCCGAUCGGGAGCGGCAAUGGGCGCCUCGCUGGAUCAGGAGCACAGCGGACACCCUGCCUGAUCCAGAGGGAUGGAAGUCAGUGGCAGGUCUGCAACAGCGGCAAAGAACAAUGGUGGACAAUAAGCAAAAGCUCAGCUCAAGCCGUAACAAACACGGACCAGAAGAGAGUGCAGUUGCAAGAUUUAAUAGAGUGGAAACAGAGCUCCCAUACAAAGGGAGGGGACCCAAAGAGGGUAGCCGUUGCUGGCUGGAAUGCCUGGGUUUAUGUCCUGAUCAUUGUCCCUCCCGCUGUGCUCUCAGGCAAUAGAUGAUUGGCUAUUUCUUUACCUCCUGUUUUUGCCUAAUUAGCAUUUUAGUGAGCUCUCUUCACUACCUGAUUGGUCGGGUGUGAGCUAAGUUGCAAGCCCCAUGUUUAAAGGUGGAUGCGGUUACCUUCCCAGCUAGGCUUAGGGAUUCUUAGUGGGCCUAGGAAAUCCAGCUAGUCCUGUCUCUCACUAUUGUACUAAUAAAUUACAUGUAUCAUAAUUCAAAAACUUGGAGGAUGCAAUAAAACUUAUUACUUCAAUUAUAGUAGUGCACUCUUGGCUCUGCUACCUAAAUCUUGACACUUAGUUUCCUCUAUCCACCAAUCACAUAGUUUUUUGGCGAAAUUUGCCCAGUGGGUUUCAAUCAAUUGUAAAGACUAAUCAAAAUAGUCUGCAGGUGCCCCAUAAAGUUAACAAAUGGAUUAAAAACUCAUUGUUACUUUUCAAUUAAAGUAGUAUGACAAUUCUGUUUCCCAGUUUUUAAUUUUUUUUCCUUUGAGAGCUUUGAUAACUCACAAAUGUACAAUAUUUUUUGGCAAUAUGUUCGCAUUACAAUGAAAACUUCUCCACACAGCCACUUCCCAAAUGCCCCUUGGUAGCAGAAAUUUCUUUUGAAAAGUAAUUCACUGUAAGAACCUCACAUUUACCUUGGAUUUUUCCCUUCUCCCCAAAAUAUCUGACUACUGAUAGGCAUAGCAAAAUUGGAAAGAGGCAACACAUUUGAAACCCCAUCUUUCUGCUAAAGAGAGAUGCAGACACCUGUAAACUCAACCACUCUUACGUAUCUGGCAACAAAAGAACUAGGAAUGCUCUGAUGGGUGCAAAGGAUGGUCCUGCUCCCUCCCCAGGGCAUGGCAAAGGACGACAAAGCUUCUACAGACUAAAGCAGUGAUUCUUUCUCAUGCCAUGACAUAUAUACCAAAAGGUAACCAUCAAACAUCAGCUUCAGCUCUCUUGGCUUAAGGGAGAGGGCUGAGAGAAAUGCAGUAUCUCAGUACACCUAUCACCCGCUCAGGGACAAGUCUAACCUGAGAUGCUCUAAUUUAAAGCCUUUGUGUUUCUAAAAUUAAACAACUCGAUGACACUCUAUAGCUCCUAACUUGCAACAUCUCACAGUAUGCUUGAUGGCCAGGUGAGCAGGGCUCCAGCUAGGCAAGGAAUCCCUGCCUCCUUAUCCACCUUAGAAACCACAUUCACCGUACAAGACACAGGACUGAAGGAGGGUCGGCGCGCGGUGACUCACGCCCGUAAUCCCAGCACUUCGGGAGGCCCAGGCAGGCGGAUCACCUGAGGUUAAGGAGUUCGAAACCAGCCUGGUCAACAUGGUGAGACCCUGUAUUUACUAAUUAGCCAGGCAUGGUGGCAUGUGCCUGUAAUCCCAGCUACUCAGAAGGCUGAGGCAGGACAAUUGCUUGAACCUGGGAGGUGGAGGUUACAGUGACCUGAGAUUGUGCCACUGUACUCCAGCCUGGGCGACAGAGCAAGACUGUCUCAAAAAAAAAAAAAAAAAAAAAAAAAAAAACACUGAAAGAGGGACCACUGGCAUUCUUGACCUUAAAUGCUUAUAAAAUUAUAAAUAGAGGUUCUUACACUUCCUUUCAACACCCCCAAAGGACUGUCCUUCGCUUCCUGCUUUGGAUACCAAUAUAAUCUCAACCUCGUUUUCUGUCCUACACAAUUGGUCUCAGCCUUAUUUUCUGUUCCACACAACUGACAAAUGCAGUAAACUCCAGGCAGCAGGGGCUGGAGCUCAACACAGAAGAGUGGCUUUAACUGGACUCAGGGCCACUCAACAGGCAAGUAGCUCUCAAUCUGGUUUGUACACUGCAACCACCAGGGAGCUUUCAAAAAGGACCAAUAACGAGUCCCCCUACCAGAGAUUUGAUGGAAUUGAUAUAGAGUUUGACCUGGGUGUCAGGUUUUUUUAAAAGUUCCACAGGUGUUCCUAAUGUAUAGCCAACACCGAGAACCAUGACAUGGAACAUGAACCUGCAUGAUGUGGAAGGGGCUUGAAAAGGUCCUUCCCCUCCAGGACUGUCACCCCUAGUGGCUUUGAUGCCCAUCAAAAGAUCAGCUGAGGCUGGGUGAGGUGGCUCACGCCUGUAAUCCCAGCACUUUGGGAGGCCAAGGCGGGUGGAUCACUAGGUCAGGAGAUUGAGACCAUCCUGGCUAACACGGUGAAACCCCAUCUCUACUAAAAAUACAAAAAAUUAGCUGGGCGCGGUGGCGGGUGCCUGUAGUCCCAGAUACUUGGGAGGCUGAGGCAGGAGAAUCGCUUGAACCUGGGAGGCGUAGGUUGCAGUGAGCUGAGAUCGUGCCACUGCACUCCAGCCUGGGCAACAGAGCAAGACUCCAUCUCAAAGAAAAAAAAAAAAGAUCAGCUGAGCAUUUACUGCCUUUAGUUAACAAGCCUGUAAGGUCAAAGGUAGGAAGCAAUUUGUAGAAAAAGUGGUGCAAGGCUAUUUCAGGUGUACAGGGCCAAGCUUCAAGGUAAUCAUCAUUCAUAACACUUUCCAGGGAGCCAAACACAAAGCUUGGCACUAGAAAAUGCUUACUAAAUGCUGGCUGAAGAAAUAUCUGACUGCACACACAGACACACCCCAAACUCAGCCAAUGGUUUUGCCACUUCCUUCAGAAAAAGUCCUCACGAUUCUGGACCCAAAAUCUAAAGCAUCUUUAUCCAUCCUCUCCCUCCGUCCUUCCAUCAAAGACCAAAUUCUGCACUGUGUUCUCACCCUCUCUGAAAACUGGUCCUAUCAUUUAUUUUACCCUCCUGCAUCUUUAGGCUCUUCCUCUCUACCAGAAAAUUCCCAGUAGUGGCCAGACACAGUGGCUCAUGCCUAUAAUCCCACACUUUGGGAAGCCAAGGUGGGCAGAUUGCCUCAGCUCAGGAAUUUGAGACCAGCCUGGACAACACAGAUGGUGAGACCCGUCUCUAGAAAAAGAAUACAAAAAUUAGCCAGGCGUAGUGCUGUACACCCUUGGUGCUACUUGAAGGCUGAGGUGAGAGGAUGGCAUGAGCCCCAGAGGGUGGAGGUUGCAGUGAGCUAAGAUUGUGCCACUGCACUCCAGCCUGGGCAAUGGAGAGAGAUCCUGUCAAAAACAAAACAAACAAAAUCCCAGUAGCAUUAGAGCAUGUUUAAAUUUCUUCCAUCUCAAUCUGAAACAAAACAAAACAUCAUAGACCCCUCAUUUCCUCCCUGCCCUGCAUGAAUAUCACACUUCUCAGUACCCUUAACAGGCCUCUCUUCCUCUACCAAAUACAGUGAUCAAACUCUACGGGUCCAGCCCUUUUCUUUUCUCAUUCUACACCCUCUUUGGAUGAGUGCUUUUUAUGCAGUAAUACUUACAUGCAACAGCUCCCAAACAUGUAUCUCCACCCCAGAUCUCUUCCAGGAGUAGCAACUGUCUACUCCUCAUCUUUACUUGGAUGUCUCACAAACAAAACACACAUCCAAAAAGGCAUUAUCUUCCCUCCCACACCUCGUGCCAACCCGCUCCUCCUCCUGUGUUCUCAAUCACCAUAAUGGUUCCACCAUCCCAUCCUACUCAGUUGUUUAUGCCAGAAACUUUUGAAUCAUCCUUGCUACCUCCCUCUCCAUCAACCAUAUCCAAAUAAUCACCACCUUCUUGCUGAUUUUAACUACAAACCCAAUCUCACUCAAUCUCAAUCCUCACCUGUCAUUAAGCGUUAUCCAGUGCUGCUACGCCAUCACUGGGUGACUGCAAAAGCACUGUUUGUUCACAUCCACCCUCCUCCUCCCCAGGGUGGCCACAUGAUUGCACAGGCUGUGCCUGCGUAACAAGUCUGGCUCAGGGGGCUGAAGCCUUUUGACCUGGCCUAGCUGGGACACAGUGGUGCAUUUUUUCUAAUUGGUCCACACAGAAUAGAAGCCUUUCUUGGGUUUGCACAAAGACACCAAACGUGCCAGCAGGACCUACCUCUCUAAACUAUUCUCUACACAGCAACAGCGAUCAUUUUACAAACUCAAAUUAGGCCAGGUGCGGUGGCUCACACCUGUAAUCCUAGGACUUUGGGAGGCCGAGGUGAGAGGAUCACUUGAGGUCAGGAGUUCAAGACCAGCCUGGCCAAUAUGCUGAAACCCCGUCUCUACUAAAAAUACAAAAAUUAUCUGGGUGUGGUGACGCACAUCUAAUUCCAGCUACUUGGGGCAGAGGUUGCAGUGAGCCGAGAUUGCACCAUUGCACUCCAGUCUGGGUGACAGAGCAAGGCUCCGUCUAAAAAAAAAUAAAAAAAAAAAAACUCAAAUCAGAGUCAGGCACAGCAGGGCCUAUGCAGUCCCAGCUACAAGGGAGGCUGAGGCAGGAGGAUCACUUGAGCCCAGGAGUUUGAUGGCAGUGUGCUAUGAUUGCUCCUGUGAAUAGCCACUGCACUCCAGCCCGAGCAACAUAGCAAGACUGUCUCAAAAACAAAAAAAUCUCAUUGGAAACUGGAGAAAAUGAACUGGAGGAAUGUGAGCAACACUACUGCCUGCCCUAACAAGGAAAAUUGAGAGGAUAUUUCACCAUAUCAGGGAUCUGCCUAAGAACAUUUCUGAGAAGAAUGUAGGAAGUGCUAUCUGGCCCAGUAUCUGCCUUUGAGAAAAUGUGAGAGAGAUGAACUAAAGAAGUAUAUUCAAUUUUUAAGUAGAAUUUAGAGAAAACAUGAAGGACUCAGGACUUGAUGGGUUUAAAAUAAAACUACUUCUAGUCAGAUAUGGUAGCCCAUGCCUAUAGUCUCAACUACUUGAGAGGCUGAAGUGGGAGGAUCACUUGAGCCUAGGAGUUCAACUGAAGUGUGCUAUGAUCUCACCUGUGAAUAGCCACUGCACUCCAACCUGGACAACAAAGUGAGACACUGUCUUCAACAAACAAAACAACCACAAAUCAAAAACACUUUAGUGGCCAGGGAUGGUGGCUUACACCUGUAAUCCCAGCACUCUGGGAGGCCAAUGUGGGCAGAUCGCUUGAGCUCGGGAGUUUGAGACCAGCCUGGGCAACAUGGCAAAACCCCAUCUCCAUUAAAAAUACAAAAAUUACUCAGGCAUAGUGGCGUGUGCCUGUAGUCCCAGCUACUCAGGAGGCUGAGGUGGGAGGAUCACCUGAGCCUGGGAGGUGGAGGUUGCAGUGAGCCAAGAUGGUGCCACUGCAUUCCAACCUGGGCAACAGAGUGAGACCCUGUCUGCAACAAACAAACAAACAAAAAGUGGGUUUCCACUAUGCUGACAUUAAAGUCCAAAAUCCUAAAAAUGACCCAAGACAUAUUUUACUCUUGAUCUCAACUCUUUCAGCCUCUAAGUUUAUCCCCUAAUGUACUUCACUAACUCCUACUAAUCCUUCAGCCUUUUUUUUAUUAUUAUUUUUACAAAAAAAAAAAAAAACAAAAAAAGAGAUGGGAGUCUCGCUAUGUUGACCUGGCUGGUCUCAAAGUCCUGGCCUCAAGCGAUUCUCCCAUCUCAGCCUCCCAAAGUGCUAGGAUUACAGGUGUGAGCCACCAUACCUGCCCCCAGGCCUUAUUUUAAAUAUCAUUUUUUAAGCAGGUCUUCCCUGAACAGUCCCUCUCCCCUCAACCAGGUUAGGUCUCAAGGUCACAUGCUCCCCUAACACCCUGUGCUUUCCUAAGUACCACUUAAGAUUGUGAUAGCCUGAGCCGGUGUGACUAUGUGUUUGGCUCAUAAGCUCAUAAAGGCAGGGACCCUCCAUCUUGUUCACAGCUGUGGCCCUGGAGCGAGCAAUGCCGGGCAUCUAACAGAUGCUCAGUAAAUAGUUGUUCAAUGAAUGCCUGAAUAAAUAGGUUGCUCCAGUACCCAUGACUCUAAUGAACAAACAUUUGGCUACCUCUUUAGCAAACGAAAAAUCAAUCAUGGGAGGAUUUCUUAGUAACAUUAUUGCAUUGAUGACCAAAUACAUGCAGACUCCUCAUUGGAAACAGAAGAACAAUCAAGGAAGCAGAAACUCCAGGUGCCUAGUGGCAGCAGUAACAUUUCACGGUUUAGAUUUGCAUUUGUGACCACAACCUUACUCUUAGCUAUGAAUAAAGAGUUUCACCAGGGCCAGCUCAUGGGUGGGCAACCAACGCAGUCACACUGGGCCGUGCUUGGCUUAAUGCUCUGUGGUCACCAUGUUCAAAUUCUUAAUUUUUUUAACAAGGGGCCCCACAAAUUAUGUAGCCAGUCCUGAGUUUUACAAAUUAGUUUGAUUUCUGGAAGGGAACAGUGGAUAGCUAAUCCCCAGCUAAGGAGGCAUCCUCCAUAAUCAAGGUUGUUUUCAACCUCCCUGAGCACAUGUAAGUCCUAAGAAAGAGGGUUACAUUUCUAGGACAUGUUUUCUUCUGAUAUAAAUUAUAUCAUACAUUAUGUAGCGCUCCCUUUGAGAAAGUCGAGAUUUUUCAGAUUACAGAAAUACACAGCAGUCUUCGUUUUAUUGCUGUUAGCUAAAAAGAGGUUAAUUUUUCUUAAAACUAAAUUCUACUUAAAACUACCGUAGAAUUCCUUUUUCAUUUUCAACUUUUUAAACUUUAUGAAAUUUAACAAAUACACUGAACGCUUGAAAUUUCUUUGGAGAUAGAAACUGGCAGGGCAUGCUUCUCAGAAUAGGAAAAAGAAAAAAAAAGAAACUGGCAGGACACAUUGGCCAUUCACAAAGAACACUGGUUUAGUUAUCUUUAUGAUAAAGGUGUUUCAAGGCGUCAGAUGUUUAAAUUUACAAAUAGCUUCUCUAGUCCUGAAGAGUUUCAAGUUAAUUGUUAAGCUUAUAAAUGUUUAGACCAUCUCAGAAACAUUUAGACCAUCUUAAAUAUAGGUUCAUUUUGUUCCUCAACCAAAGAUGACUUUGUUCUCCGGGGAACAUUUGCCUAUGUCUGGAGACAUUUGGGGUCAUUUAACUGCAGGGAGGGUGCACUGGCAUUUAGUAGGUAGAGGCCAGAGAUGCUGCUAAACAUCCUGCAAUGCACAGGACAGCCCCCACAACAGAAUUUAACUGGCCAAAAAUGGCAAAAGUGCCACAAUUGAGAAAGGCUGGUCUAAACAUAUAUGGCAUUUGCCUCAGAUAGGAAACGUGACAGCACUAAGCCACAAAUCCAGUGACAAAGCCAAGAAUACAGACAGUCUCCACAAGAAACACAUAUGGUUAUAUGAACAGUCAUUUGGGAACUCCCUUUUUAAGACAGGGAGUUAGACAUUUGACAUACUGACCUGGAACCAUGAAUACAUUUCUCAUUAGAAUAAAUAAAAAUAGUGACAAGAGUCCUUGGUUGGCUCUAUAAAAAAAAAAAAAAUACAGUAUAGCUGAAAUACCACACACUUCAUAGAAAACAGAAUUUGACAGUCAGAAGGGAUCAUUUCCAGUAGUAAUUUCUGUUUUCUACCACUUCAUUUCAUGAAAAAUGUACAAUAUCUACAUCACAGUUCAGAAUUUUCCAUUCAUCGGAGAAUAUAAUCACCGUGUACAGUAGCAGUUUUUAAGGCAGAGUUUUGCAAACAGAUGAUGCAUGAAACAAAUUUGAUUUUAUUCUUUGUGGGAUUUUUGUUUUGAGACGGAGCUUCACUCUGUCGUCCAGGCUUGAGUGCAGUGGCACGAUCCCUGCUCAUCCUAACCUCCGCCUCCCGGGUUCAAGCAAUUAUCCUGCCUCAGCCUCCUGAGUAGCUAGGAUUACAGGUGCCCACCACCACACCUGGCUAAUUUUUGAAUAUUUUUGUAGAGAUGGGGUUUUGCCAUGUUGGUCAGGCUGGUCUUGAACUCCUGACCUCAAGUGAUCCACCUGCCUCAGCCUCCCAAAAUGUUGGGAUUACAGGUGUGAGCCACCAUGCCCAGGCUCUUUGUGUGUGUUUUUUUUUUUGAGACAGACUCUCGCUCUGUCACCCAGGCUGGAGUGCAGUGGUGCAAUCUCGGCUCACUGCAACCUCCGCCUCCCGGGUUCAAGCAAUUCUCCGUCUCAGCCUCCCGAGUAGCUGGGAUUACAGGCGCCUAGCCACCACGCCCAGCUAAUUUUUGAAUUUUUAGUAGAGACACCAUCUUGGCCAGGCUGGUCUUGAACUCCUGACCUCGUGAUCCACCCGCCUGGGCCUCCCAAAGUGCCGGGAUUACAGGUGUGAGCCACUGCGCCCGGC
rnacentral:lncRNA from 10 species